rnacentral:rRNA from 1 species
GUGAGUAACACGUGGAUAACCUACCUAUAAGACUGGGAUAACUUCGGGAAACCGGAGCUAAUACCGGAUAAUAUUUUGAACCGCAUGGUUCAAAAGUGAAAGACGGUCUUGCUGUCACUAUAGAUGGAUCCGCGCUGCAUUAGCUAGUUGGUAAGGUAACGGCUUACCAAGGCAACGAUGCAUAGCCGACCUGAGAGGGUGAUCGGCCACACUGGAACUGAGACACGGUCCAG